CCUACGGGAGGCAGCAGUGAGGAAUAUUGGUCAAUGGCCGAGAGGCUGAACCAGCCAAGUCGCGUGAGGGAUGACGGCCCUACGGGUUGUAAACCUCUUUUGUCUGGGAGCAAAGAGAGUCACGUGUGGCUCAUUGAGAGUACCCGAAGAAAACGCAUCGGCAAACUCCGUGACAGCAGCGGCGGUAAUACGGAGGCUGCGAGCGUUGUCCGGAUUUAUUGGGUUUAAGGGGUGCGCAGGCGGUGGUGCAAGUCCGUGGUCAAAUUGCGGGGCUCAACCCCGUACUGCCGUUGAAACUGCAUCCCUUGAGUGCGCGAGAAGUAUGCGGAAUGCGUGGUGUAGCGGUGAAAUGCAUAGAUAUCACGCAGAACUCCGAUUGCGAAGGCAGCAUACCGGCGCGCAACUGACGCUCAUGCACGAAAGCGUGGGUAUCGAACAGGAUUAGAUACCCGGGUAGUC
rnacentral:rRNA from 1 species